rnacentral:rRNA from 1 species
AACGAACGCUGGCGGCAGGCUUAACACAUGCAAGUCGAACGCCCCGCAAGGGGAGUGGCAGACGGGUGAGUAACGCGUGGGAAUCUACCCAUCUCUGCGGAAUAGCGCCGGGAAACUGGAAUUAAUACCGCAUACGCCCUACGGGGGAAAGAUUUAUCGGGGAUGGAUGAGCCCGCGUUGGAUUAGCUAGUUGGUGGGGUAAAGGCCUACCAAGGCGACGAUCCAUAGCUGGUCUGAGAGGAUGAUCAGCCACAUUGGGACUGAGACACGGCCCAAACUCCUACGGGAGGCAGCAGUGGGGAAUAUUGGACAAUGGGCGCAAGCCUGAUCCAGCCAUGCCGCGUGAGUGAUGAAGGCCUUAGGGUUGUAAAGCUCUUUCACCGAUGAAGAUAAUGACGGUAGUCGGAGAAGAAGCCCCGGCUAACUUCGUGCCAGCCGCCGCGGUAACAC